rnacentral:tRNA from 1 species
GGUGGCUCAGUGGUAGAGUGCUUGCCUUGCAUGCAUGAGGCUCUGGGUUCAAUUCCUAAGCACCA